GUGGGGAAUAUUGGACAAUGGGGGGAACCCUGAUCCAGCCAUGCCGCGUGUGUGAAGAAGGCCUUUUGGUUGUAAAGCACUUUAAGCGAGGAGGAGGCUACCGAGAUUAAUACUCUUGGAUAGUGGACGUUACUCGCAGAAUAAGCACCGGCUAACCCUGUGCCAGCAGCCGCGGUAAUACAGAGGGUGCAAGCGUUAAUCGGAUUUACUGGGCGUAAAGCGCGCGUAGGUGGCCAAUUAAGUCAAAUGUGAAAUCCCCGAGCUUAACUUGGGAAUUGCAUUCGAUACUGGUUGGCUAGAGUAUGGGAGAGGAUGGUAGAAUUCCAGGUGUAGCGGUGAAAUGCGUAGAGAUCUGGAGGAAUACCGAUGGCGAAGGCAGCCAUCUGGCCUAAUACUGACACUGAGGUGCGAAAGCAUGGGGAGCAAACAGGAUUAGAUACCCUUGUAGUCC
rnacentral:rRNA from 1 species